CCUACGGGGUGCUGCAGUAAGGGAUAUUGGUCAAUGGGGGAAACCCUGAACCAGCAACGCCGCGUGAGGGAAGACGGUUUUCGGAUUGUAAACCUCUGUCCUCUGUGAAGAUGAUGACGGUAGCAGAGGAGGAAGCUCCGGCUAACUACGUGCCAGCAGCCGCGGUAAUACGUAGGGAGCGAGCGUUGUCCGGAUUUACUGGGUGUAAAGGGUGCGUAGGCGGCUUGGCAAGUCAGUAGUGAAAUCCAUGGGCUUAACCCAUGAACUGCUAUUGAAACUGUCGAGCUUGAGUGAAGUAGAGGUAGGCGGAAUUCCCGGUGUAGCGGUGAAAUGCGUAGAGAUCGGGAGGAACACCAGUGGCGAAGGCGGCUUACUAAACUGCCACUGACAUUGAUGCUCGAAAGUGUGGGUAUCAAACAGGAUUAGAUACCCGAGUAGUC
rnacentral:rRNA from 1 species